GCCCGUAUGAGUUACCCCCAACUCGCCUCGGUUGACCCUGACCUCUCUCUCUGUACCUUGAGCUCAUAUUAUGUGAGACAUCUGUGGGCCCUUCGAAAUUGUUGGAUUUCCCAUGGUUGUGUGGUCCAACAGGCUGGUACUCAAAGUGCAUGUUCCGUGACUGCCUUUCUCUGUUCCCACGUACAAUGUGAUGCCUGUUAUCCUUCCCACCAGAACUCAAAUCUUCGCAUAAUUCUUGCCCUCUAACAGACCGGUUAUUUUGGUUUCCAUGCUUGCGAUACCCCGAAGAAGUACGUUGCCCAAAACGAGUAUCUCCACUAUCAGGUGGGGCCGCUUCAUCCACGGUGCCAAGACCAUGCCUAUAAUGGGGUUGAGGACGCUCUUUAGCUGAGGCAACCUUCUUUUCCCUCCUUCCUUCUGGAUAUACAACAUUCGUAGACUCUCCAACAUUCUUAUUUUCAGAUGGAGACUGAUCAAGAUGAAGUGGAGGAAUAACCUCAGGUUGAUCUUUAUACAGUGCUCCAGACGCAUCUACGGUGAAGUGGGGUGAAUUUUUCCUUGUACCCCGGCCAGCUUCUUCAGAAACAUGUUGACCACCACCAGACUUCCUUCCAGUCUGAGCAUUGGUAGAAUAUGCCUUGGAUUUCGGUUGCCAAAGAGAUGAUGUCCUUUCCCCAUUGACAUGGCAUUCUACUGCAAUAGCGUCUCUCUCUUGUUGACUAUUCUCAAGGGCGGCAGAUUGAAUUGGCUUUUUAUAAAUCUCCCCACCAUUAUUGUUCUUCUGAUCAUCAUACUUAUUUGCCAUGUUUCUGUGACCUUUGUAAGGCUGUCUCUUCCCUUUGCCUUUUAUGACGCCUUGAUCUUUCAUCCCAAAGUUGGAAUUGACAACUGCAGCAGGUUCCUCGGGCAUGUUCCACCCAUCAGAAGGGUCCCAAGCAUCAGCAACAAUAGGUUCAGGUAUGAAGGACUCCUGCUGGUCAGUAGAUUUCUGAAAACUCUUGCUUAGAUACGACGAUGACCCCGUGUGAAGACGUGAUGAUUCUGUCGAAACACGAUGGUUCCAUCCUCCAUGACCUUUUGCAUGUUUACUUUGCAUACUGUCGCCAAUAUUAGACUCAACUGUACGCACCACAUUUUCAGGUACUGCUGGCUGAGAACUCUCCUGGAAACUAGAUUCUCUUCUGCCAGCAGUCUCAUUUAUUGUAGGCUGACUGGCGGAAGAUACUGAAUUCUGGAUGGUUCCCUGCUGGGCUAGCUCUUUCGCCACUUGCUUUGGAACAUAUCUCUCCAUUUCCGCCCUUUUGCUCUUCAGACCUAAAUUAUUAUUUUUUGUUGUCGAUGCAACAGAGUCUGGUGCUAAUGUCCUGCCUUCUACAUCUGCAUCCUCAACUCUAUGGUGGGAACGCACUGGAGCCCAUAUAGUAGCAUCAUUUCCAUGAGAUCUAUCAGCCACCUUAUUAGCUUGUCCAGUUUUUGAAAUCCUGCGAGGAGGCUGAGACUUCCAGGGGUUAUUUACUUUAACAUGGGAUUCUUCACUAAAUUUGGGGUCCAGCUGCGGAAGUUGUUCUAUGUCUUCCUUCACUGCCUGAAUAGAACCAGCAUCCACCUGGCUUUGAGAAACUUUCAUCUUUCCACUUUCAAGGAAAGCUUUAUCAGAAUCAGCUUGUUCCUGUACAUGUGAAUCAGAACCUGGUUGAGGAUUCUCAAGCUUGUUCUUAUUCUUACCAGACUUGGAACUUCUCUUGCCCUGAGCUGCUGAGACAUCAGGUACAACUGUAUUAGUAUUUUCAGGUAAAGUUGGUUGGCGACUUGAGACGAUCCCCUCUGGAGAAGUCUUAGAAAAUGCAGUAUCCUCAACUGCCAUACUUUCGUGAAUAUUUGCAAUUCCAAUUGUACCAAACGAAAUUAAACUCUCUGAAUAUUGCUUUCCCAUUCGAAUCUUUUGAAUCCUUUUGUAGCUUGUAUGCUCAUGCUUAAAGGAGCUAAUAUCAUUAAUCCCAGGAACAGCUUUGACAUCAACAUCAGCAGCCCCAACAGAUUCUUGUUUCAAGUAUGAAUUCUGGGGAGCAGUAAUUCCCAGUUCUGCAAUUUCAGAUGGGUCCAUCGGCAAUUUUGUUGACUGAACAGAGACCUUCAAGGCACUGCUUACAAUAACGGGAGCAACUGCAUUAGAGCCUAAGGAUAUAACUGGAUUUGGUGCAUCACUAUUUAGAGUAUUCUUUACAGGUUCAGCAAGAAUCUGUGACUCUUUUUGAUCUACAACGAUGCUGCUAAUUGCUGGAGCUUUCUCCAACUUCUCAGUAAUAAUACCCCCAGUUUGACUACGCCUGUUCAACUCUUCCAAUUUAGCAAGAGCUUUUACCUUCUGCUCCCUUAUUCUUUCUUCCUCUUCCUUCUGAAGUUGUAUUGCACGUUGCCGUGCUAAUUCUUUGAAUUUAGAACGCUGGUACAUUAUAUGCAGAGUUGUAAAAUGCAGAGUUAUGCAGAGUUAUGUAGGGCACCUAAAAAUAAUGUGAAUGGUAUAUUACCUGAGUCUGGGUAUCACCUGUAUCAAGAAUUUGGGUUAGAGUAUCACCAUCGUCCUUUCCUGAAUGAUUUGUCCCAGUCAUAACAGAAGCCUCUGCAUAACUAUGAUGAUCACGGUUGUCCUCAAUGGGGACAGGCCCAACAUUUGUUGUUGGGAGUGGUGCAAGACAUUCUGCAACAAGGGGUUUCUUCCGCCAAACAUCAGCAUCUGCCCUAAUCAUUUCUUUACCGCGGUGCUCUGAUCGGCCUUCCGAGCCAUUAAUAGCUCUCCUGUAAACUUCAAAUAGUUAAUGCACCAAAAUGAAAUUAAUAGACAACUGAAAAAGACAUGAUAAUCAAGAAACCUUGAGCUGGAACUCUCGACACUCGAUUGACUGGAAGAAAGAAUAAUAUCUCCCCUGCUGGACGCUGAUGCAAUCUCCUGACGGCCAUCAGAAGCCCGAGCCUUCGCAUUUAAACCCUCAAUUUUCUGUAACAAAUUUGAAUCCUUUGGUGCAGCUGCGAGUACAUGAGGAAUUUCUGGAAGAGAAGAUGAUGCAGAUGCAGUCUCAGAUUUUAUUUUCCAAUUCCUAUCGACUGGGUCAACUCUUUCAGGUGACAUUACUACGGACGAGUUUGAUGAAUGUACUCCUCUGCCAUCAUAUAUUCUUGAAGAAGAAUAUUCACCAUGCGCUGUUCUUUUGGAAUGCAUAUCUUCCCUUCUACUAUCAACCCCCCACUCAUUAUUGCGCAAAACUGCUCUUUGUUGGCUCCCCUUCUCUGGAAAGGAAACAUUUCCUGGGGCAAUAUUCUCCCAGCUCUCCUUUUCACCUUGGGCAUCCAAAUCAUUAUGUUGCUUAAUAAGAACUUUAUAUGGCCCUCGAGACUCGUUAAAAUGUACAGAUUCCACUUGCUCACGUCCCCCACCUCUGGCAUGCAUAUUGCUGUGAUCGGGAGUACACUGAGCUGGAAACCUAUUAAAAACAGGGGGAGCAGCUGACAUUCCCAUGAAUGGAAUAUCUCGUUCAUUGGGAUUGUAGCCCAUUGGAGCACCAAAAUAAUUAUCAUAUGGAACUGGACGAGGGUAGAAUCCAGGCCUGACAGGCAUACCUGGAUGCAUAUAAGCAUCAGGGAUCGGGGGCCUGUACAUAUCUCCAUUUUUUGGAUGAUGGCCUCUUGGGCCAUUCGCUGGGACUUGCUGCGGAACUGGCUGAGAAUUUCCUAGACUGGGAGGCGGCAUCUGAGGUCGAUAAUAAGGAAAAGGCUCCAGAGGAAAGCCACCUGCAGCAACGGGAGGACCAUAUGGUGGACCCCCUGGAGGUCCUCUAUACCAUAGCCCGGCAGGAGAAUUCAUUGGAGGACCACGCCAGGCAUCAAAAUGCUGAGGAACAUUUGGAUUCAUGAAUUGUUGGGGAUAACCCCCUUGCCAACUAUUUAAAUUAGAUUUGAAUCCGUCUUCAGCAUGUUGGGUGUCAUCUCUUUUCCAAGUAUUUGUGUUUCCACCCUUCACAUCUGCAAUUCACGAAAAUUAAAAUUCUAUAAGUAAAACCUAAUAUUGCUGGUCCAGUACAUAAUAUAUAAAGAAGAUCUACUGCGAGAAGAGAUUGCUAAGGAAAAGGCUUAUAUUAAUUUCAGAGGCACGACCAGAUUCAGAAGUUGCAGUUCUGUCAUAUUCUGCUGCUACUUCACCAGGAGAUGAUCUAGGACGAUCAUGAGCCCCAUAUUCUGCCAGUAAAAAUUAACAAGCAGUCAGUAACAUGUCAAGAUGCAUUUUCAGCAGCAGCUAUCAGAUUAUUCUAACUAAUAGAGCACAACUAAGAUCAUUAAAAAGAAAAAGUCGAUAAUAGCAAAAAGCAAUAAUGUUAUAUACGAACUUGCUAUGAAGGUUUAGAUUUUACUGGUGAGCCAAAACAGAAACACAAAACUAUCCUGACGGCUGUUCAAGUCUUCAAGAUACUUCCAGUUCAGAAAUUACAAGAUCAAUUUAUUAUAUUUAUAAUCGACGCCACUUGAUAAGAACAAAUAAUGAGUAAGCUUGCAUUUGGCUUAGCCAGAGAUGAAGUAUAAUAGAAAUGAACACAAAAGGCCUAUUCUGGUCUCCUAGGAAGAUAACAUGUAUUAGUGUAUUACUAAUUCAGAUUAUACCAAACAAAGUGCCUAAAUUUAAGUUAAAAAAAAAAACAACUAAAUCUUGACUACUCAUUAAAUAGAAAUCGACCACCAAAGAGGCCAGAUGAGCAACAUAACCUUAUGUGAUAGUCAAACUGAGAACAUAAAAUUACCAUGCGAGUCAGAAUCCUUCCCAGAAUUGUCUCUCUCUGAACCAAGAGUUGGAAAAUCUCCAGAAGUCAGUGAAAAUCCUUCUUUCUUGGUAGAUGAUAUUACCUGUAGCAUAUUUUGAAGAACCAAAAGAUCAAUCCAUAAAAGCAGUUGCAUCACCAUCAAGUAUCAACAAAAAUCAUUGGGUAUGUUACAUAAUGGUAUUUUCCUCAACAUAGGUCUAUACCAAUUUGUCAGCAUUCCCUGUUCGGCCCCACGCUGCUGAACUGUCAGGUAUGUUUUCAGAAAAUCUAGACAGCUGUGAGCUACCAGGUCUUGUUUCUGCACUCCGAGGACGCAAUGAUGUCAACGAUGUUUGAUUUGAUGCCAAAGCUCCAGAAGCUGAUGAUGGACGAGAAUUAGAACCCCAAGCACUGGGGACAGGUUCCUGCAUUUUAUCACUGCCAGCAGUUGAUGGCCUAGUGGCACUUCCACCAGACGAAGGGCGACCCCCAGCAUGGCUUGGUGAACCAUUGGAACAAUCACCACUUGGAGAUUGAAGCGAGGAACCCCAUGGAUUCGAUGCAGAAGAUGAUGGCCGACUUCCCCAACUAAGACUACCCCUGUGAAGAAGUGAUGUAUGAAUAAAUUUCUUUAUUUUGGAUUAUUUAAACAAGCCAAUAUUUUUAUAUGGAAAGGAGAAUUACAACAAUUCGGUUCUAUUUACAUCUAAAAAUACAUGUGUGUGUGAGGGACAGGUAGUAUUAAAAUUGUUUAAACUGCACUUACUUGGGAACAAUUUCCACAUUUGGAUCAAGCCCGUGAUUUUCUAACCUUGAAAAAGAAAUAAAAUUUACAUACUUUUAGAUAUUAAACCCACGUUACUAAAGAUAUAAAACUUGAUAUACUCAAAAGGAUAAGUAUACCUUUGACUAGGUAAGUUAAUGGGUUUGGGAACAGCAACCUUUCCCAAAACUGUCUUCCCACCUCUUCUGGCAGAGGCCCACCUAUAAAUUAGAAGAUACACAAACACAAACAACUAAGCAUAAAUGUCAAUCAAACUUGCUACUGAAACUAUACAGCAAAAUUACUACUUAGGACAUCAGCCUGUAUAGACAGAAUCAUCCAAACACACAGGGCAAGGGAUACCUAGAGCAUAAUUAACCCAUAAUAGAUUGCAGAUACUGAUGCCACAUAUACUACACACAGAUUUUUCUUAAAGUGCAGGCAAGGAAUGUCUAGUUAGUCAUUGUUCUACCUUAAUAUACAAAAGAACAUAAUGCUAUAAAAUUGUUGUAAGGAGAUUUUUAGAUAUAAAUUUUGUUAUUCAACCAUAACUAAGUGAUGAAAUAUAACCACAUGAGUUAAAACUGCAUGAUACAUACUCUAAAAGAAUGAACAGCAGAUUCAAGGCACUUGAAGAUCCAGCAAAAAAAUCUGCUCAGUAGCACGCUUUACAUGCACUACUUUUAAAGUCAUAAAAUACAGUUUAUAAACCCGAAGGCAGAAUAUCUUAAAAUAAGGUAUAUAAGGCCCCUUAAAAAAGCGCACACAACAAUUUAUACACAGUACUCACCUUCUAAGCCGUACAAUAUAUUGUGGAGAUAAUUUAAUCGUCUGUUUUCAUAGUUAAAAAAAAAAAACUCACUAGUAAGGUAAGCACACAAUACAUAUUCUAUGAAACAAAACACUGGGUUUAAUUAAAUACUACUAAAGUCUUCACCAAUUUCCAGCUUUAGCUAUUAGUGCAACUGUCUUUGGAUUUGACAAUUCAAAAUUUUCAAAAGUGUUACAGUUCUUUGAUACAAAAUACUCCCAACGAGAUGGUCCCAGUUUAUAAAAAAUGGCAAUGAGAAAUGAAGUAAAAGAUAUGGAACUUAUGACAUACCUCCUUUCGCCAGCAAGCAUACUCGAUGUCAUUGUUCCAAUAUAGUACGAAGGUCAUCCAAACAGCACCAAAUGGGCCUGAACACAAAGUAGAGAAGGUACAACUCAUUUACAACAAAGAUUUGAACAUAUUUGAUCUCCUAUUCAUGCAAAUGCAUAAUAACUGGAUAUGAAUUAUGAACGAAUAACAAAAACCAGUCAAAUGUUACAAUCACUGCGGAAAUUUGUCAGAAAAUACCACUAAAUGAUAAAACAUAAUUUCGAAGACUCAUGUACCAAACUACCGUAGUAACUAUAGGACCCCGAUAUUAACUACAGUAGAACCCCUCUAAAUAAAUACUCUACAGAGCGAUAGACUCUGUAAAUUGAUAUAAAGUCCCCGCCCGAAGUCAGGACCAUUAUUAAAAUUUAAUAACCCCUCUAUCGUGAUAACUAAUAUACAUUAAAAAAAUCUUAGUGUUAAAUAUCGGUCUCAACUUUCGCAUAAAGUGAUAUUUUAGACUAUAUACAUUUUUUUCAUACACUUCAUGAAGAUGAUAAAUAUUUUUUAAUAUUGAUAUGUAUAAUUUUAUUUAUUUUGAAUAACUUCAAUAUCAUGCAUUAUCGUUCAUGUUACCUUUUUUGUUAGGGCAUCAUCUAUGUUAUCUUUAAUUCAUCUUUGUAAAUUGUAAUAUCUUUUAUAUUAUAUUUAUGACGAAAUUUUAUCAAUUUCUGUAAUAUUAUCGAAUUUAUAUUAGUUAUCUUGAACCCAAAAGUUUUAAUGCACAUAAAUGUUAGUAAAUUACUUUAAAAUUAUGUAUAUUAUGAGUAUUAGAAUGCAGAAAAUUAAUUAUAAUAAAAUUUCAUUAGAAAAAUAUAAACCUCCCUUAUAUAAUAACCUCUCUAAAGUGAUAAUUUCUCCAGUCCCAAGGAUAUCACUUUAGAGUAGAACUAAUUGGUUGUGGUGUCACUUGGUGCUCUUAAAACAAUCAACCUUCUAUCUAAUCUGAUUUGAAAUCAUAAAAAUAGUUAUGAUUAUCCAUAAUCGAUAAUGACAAUUUAAAGCUCAGAUCUUUACGUAUAAAAAUUUCCUGUAUUGCAAAUAUCAACUUCCAACACUUUCUUUGUUUACCUCCGGUCAAUUGACCAACCGUAGUAACUUUAAUUACAAUAUGAUAGUAUCUUUAUAUUAGUACAGAUAUAUGAUACAUUUGUAUUCAUAUGAAUUUGUAUUCCAUAGUUCUACAAGAUAUGGACACUGUUAUACAAAUGUUCUAAGAGUUCAGCUUAAAAAAUAUAGAACCCAUCAAAAACUGUUCGGUUAUCUUGGUUGUUUCAUAUUGGGAAGUCUCAAGUUAAAAUUUAUAUAUAUACGAAGAUAAAAAAAAACUAUUUUUACAUGUAGAUGUGAUAGUAUUAUGUUGUGUUUGGUUGGUUGGGGUGAAUGGACAUGGAAGGGACGAAAAGAAAUUUGGACUAUGUUAUAAGCAAAUGUUUAAAAAUUUCAUUCCUUCCUCCAUUCCAUUCCUUGGCCCUAUGCCAUAGAUCACACCCCCAAUUUAAGGAGGAAUGCUCCAUUCCUUCACAUACUCAUUUUCUUCUCAAAUCUUAUCAUAACAAUUUUGCACUUACUCAAUUUUGUUUCAAAACUUUCUUCCUACCUCUACUAUUUUCAUUUAUUUUUAGUCAUUCCAUUCCAUUCUCCCAAACCAAACACAACACUAGUAUUGAAAAAUUAUUAGGUACUUGAGCUUCUCUCGCAUGGUGAUCUGCUUACUGGAUUCUUGCUUGUUCUAGUAACUACUUUAAAGUAAACAGUUCAAAUAAAAACCUUAAGGUGUUUAGAAAAAGGCUCCAACAGGAUCAUAUGCUACAACAAACAUUAUUCAACAACUACCAUACAGGUUUGACAAAAGCACAACUACCUAUUCUAUCGAGUCUAUGGAGACUGUUGGUAUUAGCUACGGACUGCCUGAUUGUUAAUAUGGAAAUUUGAUUCCAAUCUCCAAUAUAAUAAAGAAAGAAACCAAGGUUUAAUACCCAAGGUAAAUCAUCAAUCAACAGUUAGAUAAUAUCCCGAAAAGUAGUUACUGUUAUACAAACUUAGUCAAAAUGAAGCCGGUCCAAUAUAAUAAAGAAAGAAACCAAGGUUUAAUACCCAAGGUAAAUCAUCAAUCAACAGUUAGAUAAUAUCCCGAAAAGUAGUUACUGUUAUACAAACUUAGUCAAAAUGAAGCCGGUCAAAUGCUAUAUGAGAUAUUCCUCUGUCUUGUUCUCAUUUGUCAUUGAUUUUGAACAUCUAAUUCUUUAACUGAAGCCUCUUUCCCAGGGAACAAUCAUGAUAUACAUACGAGUAAAGUAGAACUCGUAUAUCAUAUAAAACUUAUAUGAUAUUAGUUUUACUACUUCAAUUAUGAGAUAUAGUAGUAGAAAACUGACUGGCAACAACAAAUGAGCAAGGCGCAACAUACAAGUAAAGCUACACAUUAUAUCCGCGUAUGCUGAUAAUUAAAGAGUACUAUGACUUCCAAAUUAUUACCUACUCAAAUCACCCGGAACUAAUGUCGAAAUUCACUGGCAGAAGAAUUAACAGGACUUUAACCAACUCGGUAUCAAUUAAAAAACAACUUCAACAUCAUCAAUAGUGAAACAAAGCAACUUUGAAUUUCUGUAACUACCAGUGAUAUCACUGCUUAUGAAUAAAUUAAAAAUCAUUCAUGAUAAAACAAUAUAUAAUCAAUUAAUAAUUUUGAAUAUUAAAAACAGUUAUCAAUUAUCAAUUCUCCUGAAAAACCUGGAAUCAAAUUAUUCUUAUGUAUACACACAGAUAAUUACAGAACAAGUGUACGGAGACGUAAGAAUAUGUAAGACGAAAGACUCACCGGAGAGAGAUGGAGAGAGAGAGAUCCUCGAUCUGCGAGCUUCGAGGAGAGAGAGGUAGAGAGAUGUAUGUGCUGCCGAUGCGACGUCGUUUGAGAGACGUCGAAUAAGUUGGUUGUAUUAUACGUGUGUGUGUGUGAUUGUGUGUGAAAGAAGCGAAAGGAUCGGAGAGGGAGGAGGCUCGAGAGAGGGAGGCAGUGAUGUAAAUGUUCGUAUAACCCAAACCUCAAACCCCAUGCCCAUUUAGUAAAAUAAUACUUCUAGCUUUUAAUUAAUUUUUUUUUUGAAAAAAAAGAGAUAAUUCAAUAAAUAAUGGUCAUACGGCAUCUACAAGAAUGAUCGAGUCGAACAAACAUAGAAAAAAUUAACAUGCCUGUCUUCAUACCCAAGAUGAGACAAAUAAGCGAUGUUGAAAUUGACGAUGGUACAUGUAUAGAUCCUUGCUCUGUGUUCACCAUAUUUUCCAAAAACUCCGUUUGAGCUAUCGACCACAAAUGCAAUUCCCGAAAGGCUUUAUCUAUGAAUCCAAACCACUCUCACAAAAGAAGGAGAGAAAAAUCACACACUCUCACUAGGGAGAGAAAUCAAACUAUAAUCAAAACAAACUAAAACAAUUAGAUCUGCACCACGACGCUUAGGAGAUAAUCGAUCCACUCACAAAUCCAAAAAGACCUCUGGAAGCGAAUAAGAACGAAAAUCGAAAGUUUCGGUGAUAUAGAUCUAAGAAAACUUUCCCCGAAUAUAGAGAUUUAUUAAGAAACUCAAUGAAAAAGUAAGAACAAUCAAAAACUAGCAAUCAAACGAAAAGAUCUGGGGCUUUCCACCGGAAACCGAUGGAAGCCCCGUCGGAGAUGAAAAGAGGAGGCGGCUAGAGAGAAGAGAGAAAACGAAAACUAGGAUUUUUAAAAAAAUUUACUAUUUAUUAAUUAAUUUUUUAUUAUUUAUCUUUGAUUGGGACACGUGGAAUAUUUUAUUACUUAGCAUUGUGAAACAUGUCAAUUGCAUGAAUCCCCAAAAUGCUAAACCCUAUUUAAGAUCCACAAUCGUGUUUAUCUCGUUGUGUUUUGACGAAGACGCUCAGAUCAUUCAUUCUCCGAUGAAUUCGCGAUAAAGAUAAAUCUCAUGUGUCAAAAAUCAUGGUCAAGAUACCAUUUAUAUAUAUUUCAUCCAAAAUUUUUUCUUGCAUUAAAUCAAAUUUUUACGGAAACAACCUUCUAAAAAGUAGCGAUAUGAUCUGCGUAUAUUUUAUCCUCUUCAUACCCUACUCUAAACGGGGUAUACCAGAUAUGUUUGAUUUGGUUUGGUUAUAGGCCGUAGAAUUGUUAUAUAGAAAUGUUAGUAAAAAGAAUGUAACGGAAAUUAGAUAAAUUAUUUAUAGAAAUGUUAGUUUAAAGAAUGUAAUGAAAAUUAGAUAAAUUAUUUAUAGAAGUGUUGGUAAAAGGAAUGUUCUCAAAAUUAGAUAAAUUAUUUAUAGAAGUGUUGGUAAAAAGAAUGUUAUGAAAAUUAGAUUAUUAUUUUAUGUUUAUGCUCCCUCCGUUUCAAAAUAUUUGACGCUUUGAUUUUUUUCACAUAGUUUAAAAUCCUUUGACCAUGUAUUUAUAUUUAUUAUUUUUAAAAUUUUAUUUUUUUAAAUAAAAGUAUAUAGUCGAAAUUUUAAAGUAUAAAUUUUUUCUUUAAAAAAUGAUGAUUCUAGGUGCUUGGUCAAAACACUUUAAAAUGUGCGUAAAAAGUCAAAACGUCAUGCUUUUUGAAACGGAAGGAGUAUGUGUUUUGAAUAAUGAUAUGCUUGAAAAAGUUAAUGUUUAUGAUAGAUAUUUGGUUGUGAAUCUGAGUUCUCGAAAGUGAAAACAAAUUUUCCGAAAAUAUAAGUACCUAAUUUUUUAAUACAGUUUUUGAUUCAAAAGGUAGUGUUCAGUUGAACUACUUUCAAAUUGGCAAUAACAUAGGAAAACUCGUUACUCUCAGUGACUUGAAAAUACAGUAUAAGAAAUACGAGGAAAUUUUAGAGCUUUUCGGCAUCUAUGGGUGGUGAAUUCUAAUUUAUUUCAAUUUUUGUGAUAUUUACUUUUUAUUUUAAUAAGAUGUUUCUUCUAAUAUUUAUAUUUUUCUCUUUUAUGAUACAAAACAUGCAAGUCCGUACCCACAGUGGUCACUUAUAUGUAUACCAAGGAAUCACUGCCCACAGUGCUCACAUAUAUGUAUAGGUAGAGGAAACAAUUCACAACAAUGUGAAAUUGGAAACCUAGUUGUGCUGCAUCAUGAAAACUUGAUGAAAACUCAGCAAGUCUAAGCUGAAUUUAUAGAUAACAUGAUUGUCGACCACAUUAGAAUAUUGUAGAAUUAUAUCAAGAAGCUUGUGCAUCAUCAAAACAUGCCAAGGAAUCAUACACAAGACUAACAUCCCUAAUUCAUUGCCUAAAUUGUUCCGACAUCAUUGGGGCAUGCAAAGGAUAGAUACUAAAUCCAAGGCUCCGUUAGGAAUGCCAAAAGGUUCCACAGGUGAUAAACUGGGACCACAAUACAAAACAUGAAACCGAUUGCACCAUAAGAAUAAGAAGAAUACAGAACCAAUCAAUCAUGACCAAAUUCCUGGCAAAAACUCGCUGACAUCUUUUGCCCUUAAACGCCCCUUAUCCUGAUUGAUAAAGAUAAAUGUGUGAAUAUCAGUUAAUAGACUACUUGUAACAAUUAUCAUUGGAACAAAAAUAGCACCAUCUCAGCUGGCAAUAACUGCAACAUUGUCAAAUCAAGACACCAAGAGUUUGGGAGAACUUACCUUUAACAAGCAUCAACUUAUUCUGGAUGUUACUCGUAGCCAACAUCAGCUUGAACGGCACUGCUCUUUCGCCCGUAAGAGUUACUCCCACCUCGCCUCGGUUGACCCUGCCCUCUCUCUCUGUACCUUGAACCCAUAUUAUGUGAGCCACCAGUGGGCCCCUCAACGUUGUUGGAUUUCCCAGGGUUGUGAGGUCCGACAGGCUGGUACUCAAAGUGCAUGUUCCGUGGCUGCCUUUCUCUGUUCCCAUGUACACUGUGAUGCCUGUUAUCUUGCCCGCCAGAACUCCAAUCUUCACGUAAUUCUUGCCCUCUAACAGACCGGUUAUUUUGGUUUCCAUGCUUGCGAUACCCCGAAGAAGUACGUUCUCCAAAACGAGCAUCUCCACUAUCAGGAGGGGCCGCUUCAUCCAUGCUGCCAAGACCAUGCCUAUAAUGGGAUUGAGGACGCUCUUUUGCUGAAGCAACCUUCUCUCUCCUUCCUUCUGAAUAUACAACAUUCGAAGACUCUCCAACACUCUUAUUUUUCGACGGG
rnacentral:lncRNA from 1 species